AGACAGCCUCAGAGCUGGUGGGGAGACAGCAUGCCACUGGAAAAAUUCGUAGACAUGGAAUUCCUGGAUCAAAUGAUGGUGUGCUUCUCACCUCAGCGUGAUAGCCUGACCUUGACUCCUGAGUUCCACGAUCGCUUCACAACUGCAAGUCACCAUCAUACAAAAUUUGAGUUUCCCUAAGUCCGCGCCUUUGAGAGCUUUGGAACGAUAUGCAAGUUCAAGUCACCAUCCUGUUUCUUGCUACCUCCUGUGAGAAGACCAACAUUUGGGUUACACUUGUUUCUACUCUUGUUCUUCUGCUUGUUAUUGUUGCCUCUGCAGCCAUUGAUCACACACGUGUUGUCAUACAAAAACUGGUUAGCCUUUUUAUUUGUCUUGUGAAUUUUAUCAUUUGGUUCUUAAGUAUUACAAAUUAAUAUUGUGUACUCUCAUUGAUAUACAACUUGCAGUCAUUGUAAAUAUGCGUGAGUUAGGGGUGAGAAUGGCAUGCAAGCAAAAGAACAAGGAGAGGGAUGAUAGAGAUGCAAGAAGAGUAAAGAGGGCAAGAAAGUUUAUGUUAAUAGCGAACACAAUGAAAGUUCUUUAAAUGCUUGAUAAUGGUGAAAGCAACACUUCCUAGGGCAUAUUUUUGGUGUUAAUGAACCUACACAUCAUACAAUAAAGAAAAUUGAGAAAGCAGUUGGGGCCAGUGAAUCGGGGGCACACAAGAAUCACUGAGAAAAUCAUACACAACUCAAAAUGCCACAAUAGGGAAAAUAUAAAGAGAUUUGCACUUGUGGCUUCUAAAACAGAGAAGGUUGAAUAGGUCUCUUUCUGUGUGUAAAAUCUGCCAGUGAGCAUCACAAAAAUGCAAAUUUAAAUUUCAAUCUGGAUGGAAAGUUAUAAAAUUCAUUGCAAGUAAUGGGUGGUUGGGUAGGUUUAAGAAAUGCCAGGUGGGUGGAUCACUUGAGGUCUGGAGUUUGCAACUAGCCUGGCCAACAUGGUGAAACCUUGUCUCUACUAAAAAUACAAAAAUUAGCCAGGAUUGGUGGCGGGUACCUGUAAUCUCAGCUACUCAGGAGGCUGAGGCAGGAGAAUCGCUUGAACCUAGGAGGCAGAGGUUGCAGUGAGCUGAGAUCGUGCCAUCGCACUCCAGCCUGGGUGACGAGAGCAAAGCUCUGUCUCAAAAAAAGAAAA
rnacentral:lncRNA from 1 species